rnacentral:lncRNA from 1 species
GUUUCCUAAUCACGUGGUUCCGGGUUCAGUCCCACUGCGUGGCACCUUGGACAAGUAUCUUCUACUAUGGCUUCGGUCCAACCAAAGCCUUGUGAGUGGAUUUCGCAGACGUUUUUUUUGUAUAUAUAUAUAUACAUAUAUGUGUGUGUGUAUGCAUAUAUAUAUGUAUACACACACACACACACACACACACAUAUGUAUAUAUAUAUAUAUAUAUAUAUAUAUAUAUAUACACAUAUAUAUACAUAUGUACGCACAGACACACACACAGACACACAUAUAUAUACAUUUAUAUGUACUUAUGUAUAUAUUUAUGUUAUGCAUGUAUACAUAUAUAUAAUUAAAUAUGUCUGCUUAUAAGUGCGCACUCAUAUAUGGUUAUUUUGCAUCAUUCAUCUCUUCAUAGUAUUCAUUAUAUAACAACAUCUAUCUAUCUAUAUCUGUGUAUGUGUGUGUGUCUAUAUAUAUAUGUAUGUAUGUAUCUACGUAAGUAUAUAUGCAUGUAUGUAUGUAUAUAUGUCAUUAUUCAGUUUUAUAUCAAGAUUUCUUGCCAAUAGAGAAAGGGCCGGUUUCUAACCUAGAUCCAACACUCCUUCAUUGGAAUUUCAACUUCGGUAACAGAAUAUUUUUUAUGCAUGUAUGAACAUUUGCAGAUUUGCAGGUUUUAUGUAUGUAUUCUCAUGCAUAGAGUUGCAUAUCUAGACAUACGUAUAUCUAUCUAUCUAUCUAUCUAUCUAUCUAUCUAUCUAUCUAUCUAUCUAUCUAUCUAUCUAUCUAUCUAUCUAUCUAUCUAUCUAUCUAUCUAUCUAUCUAUCUAUCUAUGUAUCCUAUCUAUCUAUCUAUAUAUAUAUAUAAUAUAUGAUAUAUAUAUAUAUAUAUAUAUAUAUAUAAUAUAUGAUAUAUAUAUAUAUAUAUAUAUAUAUACAUAUAUAUAUAUAAGUGAUAAACUUCUGGAAAGUUUUACAGAUUUUUGCAGUUCCAGUGAUCGACUGGAUAUGUAGUCUUCGAGUCAGUUUUCUCUUUUCUGGUUUUGAGAAGCCUAAUUUCUCAAAAUUGGUAUUUAGGCAGUGUGUUACAUAUUACAGCGUCCUAAUAAUUACAGGUAUAAACCUGAACUUGUAAUCUGGAUAGAGUAACUGCAGAUUUCUCAAUAGUUCAGCAUAAGUAUUCUCUUUUUACACUGAUCUUCAGCUUUAUGUUAAUAUCCACUGGGCAACUAGUUUCCACCACUGUACAUAGUUUCUCUUCUCAUCCCAAAUUACUAUGUCAGGUCUAUUAUUAUGUUUACGUCUUAUUGAGGUUUUCCCUGGGACAUUCCACCAGUAUUCCUUUUUAUUAUGAGUGACUAUGGCUUCUACCAUGCUGUGUGUUCUUAUUUCUUUGUCCUCGGAAUUAUCCUUCCGACGGAUUUCAUUAUAGAGUGUCCUAGCUACAACGUCAUGUCUCAUCGGUAGAUAAACCGUGAUGACAUUUUCGGACAACUGCUUAUGAUGUGGGUGAUAUCUUCAGUGUUAACUCCACAUAUAUGUAUGUGUGUGUGUGUGUAUGCAUGUAUGCAUGUAUGUACGUAUGUAUGUACGUACGUACGUAUGUAUGUAUGUAUGUAUGUAUGUAUGUAUGUAUGUAUGCAUGUAUGUACGUAUGUAUAUAUGUAUGUAUGUAUGUAUGUAUGUACGUACUUGGCACCUGGGGCAAGAGUCCACUAUUAUGGCCUCAGGACGACCCAUGCCUUGUGAGGGGAUUUGGUAGACGGAAACUGAAAGGACCCCGUCAUGUGUGCUUGUGUAUUUGUGUUUGUGUGUGUGUUUAUGUGUGUGUGUUUGUGUGUGUGUGUGUGUGUGUUUGUUUGUGUGUGUGUGUGUGUGUGUUCGCAUAUUUUUAUACAUUAUGACAAAUACUCAAUUCCCUAUUUCUGUAUUUUAGUAACUCACAUUCCUCUGUUAUAUGUUUUAAUCCUCUAUUACCAGAAUUAUUGUCACAAAUAAUGGGGACACUAUCUCCACAACCACCAUAACCCCUAUCAUCGUCAUCAUCAUCAUCAUCAUCACCUUCGCUUAUUGUUUUUUACUGAAAUAGAAAAUUCUGUUGUCGAUGCCACUGCUACUGUUGUCUGUUGUUAGUGUUCAUGUUAUUAUUAUUAUUAUUAUUAUUAUUAUUAUCAUUAUUAUCAUUAUUAUUAUUAUUAUUAUUAUUAUUAUUAUUAUUAUUAUUAUUAUUAUUAUUAUUAUUAUUAUCAUCAUUGUUGUUAUUAUUAUUAUUGUUAUCAUUAUUAUUAUUAUUAUUAUUAUUAUUAUUAUUAUUAUUAUUAUUAUUAUUAUUAUUAUUAUUAUUAUUAUCAUCAUUGUUGUUAUUAUUAUUAUUGUUAUCAUUAUUAUUAUUAUUAUUAUUAUUAUUAUUAUUAUUAUUAUUAUUAUUAUUAUUAUUAUUAUUCCGGCGGUGAGCUGGCAAAGUCGUUAACACGCCAGGCGAAAUGCUUAGUUCAAAUUCCGCCGGGAUCGAC